GACGAGCGCUAUGAAGGCCUCGUGAGGAGCGCGAUCGACGGGCCGAACAGCUUCGCGCAAAAGCGGGAGACCAUCGACGAGUACGGCUGGCGCCAUUUCGGGGAAAUCUAUGCCGACCACGAAAGUGUUCUUGCGCCUGCAGGACAGCCGAUCGUGUCGCAUUACAACAAUCAGUACGACGCGAUCGCCGGGUUC
rnacentral:misc_RNA from 1 species